rnacentral:tRNA from 1 species
GCCCUAUGUAGCUUAAACUAAAGCAUUGGUCUUGUAAACCAAAAAUGAGAUCUUUCUCCUAGGACA